AUGCCGCGCAUUCCCAUGAUCAGAUUCCCCAAGAGGCAUCUCAAAGUCCCAUCCCCAGCAGCGGCGCAGCCUGCAGACCAGCACGCGACCCUCAUGUCCCGAUUGGGAGCUAAAGUAGAGGCACCAUCUUCUGGAGAGAAAAAGAAUUACCGCUUUAGAUCAGAUGUGCCUUCCGCACCUUCUCAUAAUGCUGUUGGAGGGCCAGCUUCACAGCUUCCCAAGCGCAAACCACUAUCUGAGGAAGAGAUUGAAGCUAUCAUGGUAAGUUCUUUGUUUACAGAUGCUGAAAUACAAAGCAAUAUACAUUGUAUGGUUAUGCUUAAGGUAUUUGGCAUGCUGUACCUAGAAACCAAUUUUAUCCAAUGCUUAUGUGUAGUGUGGACCCAUGUUAAAUUGUACAUGAAAUUUGCAGAAUGA
rnacentral:rRNA from 1 species